rnacentral:lncRNA from 1 species
UACGAGUUAUCUUUAAAAAAGGGGUUGAAGUUAAUGAACAAAAACCAAAAUAAAUCAAACUCAUAAACUUCUUCACUUCAUCAAAAAAUCAAGAGAUCAUUUCAAGGUCCAACGCCUUAAUGAUUCUCCCCUCUCAUUAAAAAUCAAGAGGUCGUUCAAGGUCCAUCACCUUAAUGAUUCUCUCCGAUUUUCAAACGUUGU